rnacentral:rRNA from 1 species
AAUCCUACGGGGGGCAGCAGUGGGGAAUAUUGCACAAUGGGGGAAACCCUGAUGCAGCGACGCCGCGUAAGUGAAGAAGUAUUUCGGUAUGUAAAACUCUCUCAGCAGGGAAGAAAAAAGACGGUACCUGACUAAGAAGACCCGGCUAACUACAUGCCAGCAGCCGCGGUAAUACGUAGGGGGCAAGCGUUAUCCGGAUUUACUGGGUGUAAAGGGAGCGUAGACGGCGCGGCAAGUCUGAAGUGAAAGGCAGGGGCUUAACCCCUGAACUGCGUUGGAAACUGCCAUGC